UGGGACAUCUGGGUGCAGGCAGCUCAGCGUGGGAUCUGAGUGCAGGGGAGAUCUGGAUGCACAGGGCUUGUUGCAGGGUUCUGAGUGCAACAGUAAUGGAACUCUGCAGCAGGGACCAGGUGAAGAUGGUUGGGGCUCAGCAAAGGGGGUUCAAGG